UCUCCAUUCGAACCCAUUUUUUACAUAUCCAAUAUCCAAAUUCCUUUUAGCAAACCAUUUAAACCCACUCUUGUUUUUAUCCAUUCAUUAUCCAUUUUAACUACAUAUUACAUACAUCCAUAUCCACUUCCAAUGUUGUUCAUCCAAAAUUCACAAGAUAAACCCACUCUUGUUUUUAUCCAUUCAUUAUCCAUUUUAACUACAUAUUACAUACAUCCAUAUCCACUUCCAAUGUUGUUCAUCCAAAAUUCACAAGAAAACCAUUUGUCCAAAUCCAAUGUUAAUUUACAAUAAGAAAAAAUGAAAUAAUUGCAGCAGGAAAGUACAUGUGAAAACAAUC
rnacentral:lncRNA from 1 species